CAGGUUUCAGUGGACAGGCCAGUUGCAAGAGUCACUGCAAUCAGGAUUGUUCAAAACUAUGGCUUCCUACCAGCAAUUUCACUGCAUUCCACAUAUAUAGAGAUCCACACCAUUCCUUCAGUGGGGCCAGCUGCAAUUAUUCCACUCUCUGUGGGAAGAUAAGGUCAGGAGAAAUGAACUAUCUACUAAAGCCACUAUACAUUGAAAUUUCACCUGGAACAUAUCA